CUGACGAGCACACACGAAGCCAGAAUUCAUCGGGGGGGUUCACUUCGAGGGCGAGCCAGUGUUCGCGCAUCUCGUCAACCUCGAGACGAGGAGAGUAUGGUGGGCCACACAAGUAUUUUGUCUCUAAAAUAGUCCCGAUCACCACCACACAGCAGAUAUAAUUAUUUAUACAAUUACCCAAUGGUUAUCUUCGAACAGUGUGUGAAAUCAAUAGACCAAAAAUAUUCUCAAGUACCGCCAUAACCAACCCCUAACCAAUCCACAAAUGUUUGUGUUUCCAGUGGUACAGAAGAAGUGUUUAAUUUUAGUGUACCCCAGUGAUGUGCCCCAAAAGUGACAAGAACCACCAGGAAUAAAGAUCAAGAAGGAGACGAGACUGAACCAAAACCACAAGCGUCGAGAAUCACUGGGAUUCCCCUGAUUCAUUAAAUAGUGAAUGAAGGAAAAUUAUUCGAUGAAGGUACGAGGUUUAUCACUCGCGGGAUGGCGCGCAUGAAGAAUUACACUUAGACCAACUUCAGCAACCUGUCAAUAACCAAGAGACACGUGCAACAGUCCCGAGAAACCCGCAGCCCCCAGAAUUAUCACUCCCGAGAGAUGUGAGAGGAAGAACAAUGAGCGAAGGAUUGACGAAAUCAGCUGGAGGCGAUGAGGAGAAUCGAAAGGUCAUUUGAUUACGAACGUAUCGCAAGCACCCACUAGUCUAUUCCCAGGGCGUUCUGCGUCUUGUGUCCAAGGGCGUAGACUCCAUCAACCCCAUAACCCCAUCUCCAUCCUCCAGGAGCUCUCCAAGAUGUGAGAAGAAAAAUAGAAAAUUAAUUCCUCCCCAGAGAACGUCAUUUUCUAGUAUCUGCAGACCUGACGUAUCCUUGGAAGCACACUCCACUUCAUUCGAAUAGUUGUAACGUUUUUUUUUCCCCUUCAUGAGUAAAAACGUCGGGUACAUGAGUGUGUACGUGUGCGCGAGUGGCUUGUACAAUGUACAUGUAUUGCGUGUGCUUGAAUUAAAGUGCUGCAGAGAAUAUAGGAGCGCCACCAAAUUUCAACGGUGUUAGCCACGUGAAUCAGCGGUGAGAAAGGGAAAUUCGUUGGAAUGUCAUUACCUAAAAUUGCAGUGAACUGCUGAUUAUCAUCAGUACCAGGUACUCGUGUACCUCAGCCAGAGAUAGAGACGGUUUAUGCCAUGGAUAUGAUUGCAAUGGCGUUGGAACAGGUGUUACAGGGAUGUGCCAGUGACCUGUUUUCAUUUUCAAUCGAUUUGGUGCUCCUCUGAAUUGGAAGAAGGCGAAAAAAAACCAUCAAACUAUCCAAUUCACCAGUUGGAGGUGUAUUUUUGGUUGUAGGGGGGUCGGGGGACUUGGAACAAUCUAUUAUUCGGCUGAUAGCAUUGAGUCUCCGGGGGGCAUAAAGGAGGCGAUGAUAAUGAUACAGCCCCCUUUAAUCGACCAUUUGCGAUCAUGAUUCGUUGGGCGGAUGACGCGAUUGAUAAAAUUGUAACGAGUGACAACUCCAUCUUUAAUAACAACGAGACUGUAUACGACAGACUAUUAUCGCUGUGCUGUUGCGUAGACGAUAAUGGUGAUAAUGAAGACACUGAGGAUAUUACAUUCACCUCGUGCCUGAUCAGCAAUGCUGGGGCUUUAAGGGGGUUAAAAUAUCCAGUGAUUUGCGUGAUUAAUGCGAACUCAAUCGAUGGCUCGGAGUUUUAUCACUUAUUUCAAUACUAUUUUGGUAUUACGAGGAGAGGACGAUGGUGUGAGUGUGUAAAGUGGCCAAGGAAGGAUAGUCAGUUGAUUUGUUAUCGUUGUUGGACACUUGGUGGCGGAUGACUCGGUCGGGUGUAGAUGGAAUUGUAGUAUUAGACAUUCAUCUAGUUGAUAUACCAGUUGGGGGACUACUUAGACUAUCGUCGUUGACGCGCCGCAGACGGAGACGGUUGUGCACUUGGUUAACUGUGAUUACACGCACCAUUGUUAUACCGUGAUGGCGGACUUACCUGAUAUGUCUCAUCUUACACCGGAGGAGAGGAGGAUCAUCGAGGGGGUUAUGAUGCGCCAGAAGCAGGAGGAAGAGCAUGAGAAUGAGAUCAUGAGGCGAAAGCAGGACGAGGUUCAGAUACUCGAGGAUACUAUUCGCGCCCGCUCCGAGAAACACAAGAAAGCGGGCAUCGACUUGGAGGAUACAUGUCACAUAUGCAUGAAAACCAAGUUUGCGGACGGUGUUGGCCAUAUCUGCAACUACUGCAACAUACGGUGCUGUGCGCGUUGCGGUGGCAAAGUCACCCUCAGAUCGAACAAGGUGAUAUGGGUGUGCAUCCUGUGUCGUAAGAAACAAGAGCUGCUCUCGAAAACGGGCCAGUGGAUGUUUAAAUCGGGCCUGGGCGCUGCGGACCAAGCUAUGCUCAGGCGAAUGCAGGAGGACAUGCAGGGUACCCCGGGCCUCACCGAUUUGACCCAGGACAAGAGGCCAAAACUUGAGCGCGCUCACAGUGCUGCCGAGAAGGAGAAUCUACCGCUGCUCCAGAGCAGUGGUAGUCUUCUCAGACGUCAGUACUCCCAGCAGGAGCAGAUGCCACCGCGCAGGAUGGCCACCAGCGACAGUGGAGUGGAGAUGACUGUGUCAGCACAUUCAAGAAGCCUACCGACUCCUCACGUUGUCGUUGCUUCCUAUGCACAACAAACGCCGAGACAUCCCGCUGCCUUUCCCGAGGAUGAUCCCAAUCUUUAUCGGGGUGAAUUGGAUGGUCUCAUGAGGCAACAUGCGCAGACUUAUCAGAGAACGAGACAAAUUUAUAAAGAAAACUCGGAUGUUUCAAUGGGGUACCCUCACCCGGGUGUAGACCCGUCCCUAGUUCAUUUGAAUCAGCAACACUCAGUACAUUCGGUACCACUUAGUCAUACCUCUCAGCAGUCAUCAGGUACUGUUCCCGGUUCUCUCCAUCAACAGCGGAGUUUUAGCAGCAGUGAGGAAGAGCGGAGUACGCCAGAGUGCGCGAGUGACGAACACGACGAAUCCGAGAAGGGAGUUCUUGGAUCUACUGUAGGGAAGGGGUACUAUCAUCACGGGGGCGGCACAUCCUCGAUGUCCGGUGGUUCACGUAGACACGGAUCUCACAAUGGACAUCACGUUACUGGCUCCAUGGCCAUUGAGUACAAUGGCCAUCAUCCACCGCGAGAGCCUCGAAAAGAGGAGAGUACCCUCGUAAGGAGGAGCUUCCGAAGAAGCGGCGACGAGUGGCGCGCCGACAGUCGGAGGUUCACUGAGAGGAGGGGGAAAAAGACAGUGAGAUUCGACGGUGGGACCAAUGUAGCUGGCUCACAAGAGGACUGGUCUUGGGAAGCGGAUCGUCAGGGUAGUCUAGACAGCGCAACCAAAGACUCAGGAAUAGAUACAUCAAGUACAUUCACGAGCAGUGAAGACAGCAAUCGUGGUGAUUUACCAAAGCAACCGUUGUCGUGGCAGGAAAGUAACGAUGGACAGAAGACUAUUGGCCACAUGAUCCUGAAGAAGUCUGUCUCGGGAAGCAGUGGUAUCCUCGGGCUCAAGGUUGUGGGAGGAAAACUUAUGAAUGAUGAUAAAAUCGGAGCGAUCAUCGAGAAGGUGAAGAAGGGAAGUGCUGCAGAUCUCGAGGGACAGCUGAAGCCAGGGGACGAGGUGAUCGAGUGGAACGGCCAUCCCCUCCAAGGCAAAUCAUAUCAAGAAGUUUACGACAUAAUAGCAGCGUCGAAGGACGAAUCCGAGGUAGAAUUAUACGUCGCCAGAAAUCGCUGCGGUCCAGCGAAUAAACAAAUGAUGACCGGUAUGCCAGCCACCGUAAUGCCAAUGACAACUCGGAGAGGAUCAGCGCAGAGUCAGUGGCGGCAGAAGCACGAGCCAAUGCCAGUGCCCCACCAGCCCCACCACAAAGAACUGUACGACGUGAGGAGAGAUAAACCAUCGGUUCUGGUGACAUCUCCAGUCUCGCCGGAUCUCAGUGUACAGAGUCGGGCCAGACAUCAGCGGUAUCCAACGGGCGAUCCCAAUGUCGGGGGACGACUGCAACUUCAUCAGAGAUACGAUUAUAAUCGGUGUGAGCUUAAUGUGGAUGUUAUUUGUGCCACCGAUCUGCAGAAGAGGGCCAAUGGGCAGUUGAGACAUGCUUACGCCAGGAUUUAUCUCCUACCGGACAAAAGUGAAGGGACGAAGAGAAGAACGAAAACGGUGGCAAAUACGAAUGCCCCUCAGUGGAACGAGACAUUCGUCUACAGCGUGAGAAAGUUCUCGGAGCUCAAGUACAAAUCGUUGGAGGUUACUGUUUGGGAUAACGUCAGGUACGGGGCAAAUGACUUUCUCGGUGAGACGAUUGUCGAGCUCGCUUACCUCCCCGAGGCACCGCAGUGGCACUACUUGCUUGCCCACGACGACAGACGUCACAUCGGGCAGUACCAGGAGCCGUCCGACGACAUCGCGAUAACCCCUGUUGACUGUCACCUGAGUCCACCGUCGACGACGUCCAGAUUGAGUGACUCGGACACGUCCGAGUACGAGAUCACCGAUGGCGAUGUAUCACAGCAGAGGAGAGGUGCUGAUGGAGCGAGCAUCAGCAGUAUCGGCAGUUCGUCGAGGUUUCAUAAUAUGCCGUCAAAUUAUAAGCGCCACUAUUCCAGCCCACCACCUGAGAGGGAUCUUUGUAUGGACAGUGAACAUCGGAGUCGGAGGGACAUGUCACCACAGGGUAGAAAGAGGGCUGCAUUGAUGAUAUCGAGGGAGCAACCAGUCUCUAUGUCUAUGUCUUAUUCGCCUUACAGAAAAGACGAACCGCCGCGCAGUAUGAUGGGUCACAGAUCCCAAAGCGCUGCCCCCAUGGACGCACCGAACCUUAGCUACAGGGGUAGAUCACAGAGUCCCACUGGUCAUCGUUCACUAUCACCACCAGAGCAAAGAUCCAUUCCCUAUUCCCAUGGCUACAUGCCAACCAGAUUUGGAUCGAGAUCAGCUACUGCCACGCCCACUGGUUCGCCCAAGAAACGACAAUUGCCACAGAUACCUGCUAAAUUGCAUCCAGGCCUGAAGGAGAGAGUUGCGCAGGAUCUCGAGGAGAGAGCUAGACUGAUAACACACAGGAAUAGACAGAUGCAUACGACGUACAGGAGUACGGGAAUGGGAGGAUGGGAAAUACAUUACAGUGGGCUAUCAGACUCUGAUCUCCUGUCAAUAGGCCAUGAACCCCAAUCCACAAUGCACGGUCACAGAAUGCACAGAGUAAGAAGGGGACGCCUGAGUCCCGACAAAGAUGUUCUCGGUGAUUUUGGUGAUUCAGAUAUGGAGAGUACAGCAUCAGUGGAAAGCAAUACCUUCAGUACGCAAUCGGAGCGGCCGCGUGGCACUGUACAUCUAACUGAUUAUGUCAGCCGAAGCAGUCCGUACGAGAAGACGUCGUCGAGGAAUGAAGUACCUGCAGAUGGACACAAUGGUCUCGCCAAGAGAGGACAAUUCACCAGGAGUUUGAGUAAUGCUGAUGCACCACCUGAUGAGAAAGUUGCGGAUGGAAGCUUGAGUGAUACAGCUGUUGGUCUUCAUGUCGAGGAGGCAACGAGAAGAGGAAGAAAAAGUUCACCGGGCAGCAAGAGCGGAAGUGGCAGUAGCAGCGGUGGUGGCAGUACUGUUCAGUAUCAGGGGGGUCUCUCCAAAAAGAGCGUCAGUACGAGCCAACUGUCAGCGACAGAAUGCGGUGUCGUUGGCGGCGCUACGGAAACAAGGUCCUUGGGUGUAACUAGCCGAAAAAGGAACAGCACACCAAGCAGCUUUCAACGAUCCCAAGAGGUUGUACCUUAUCAGCGACUCGGUGCAACCAGACACAGUGGCUCGGUACCAAGUGACCCCGCUGGAUCCCUCAACUCAAUCUCUAGUUCCGAAGCAAGCUCUUGGUCCCCGUGCGCGAGACCAGCCGUUGAGGUUGGUCAACUGAGUGAAUUUAUUGACGGACUUGGACCAGGUCAAUUGGUUGGUAGACAGGUGCUAGGGGCUUCCUCACUCGGUGACAUUCAGUUGUCAUUGAAGUGUCACAGGGGGGUACUGGAUGUUGAGGUGAUACGGGCGAGAGACUUGCAGGUGAAACCGGGCUUCAAAGUGUUACCAGCUCCUUAUAUUAAGCUUUAUUUAGUCGAUGGAAAAAAAUGUAUAGAAAAGGCGAAGACGACGACGGCUGCGAGGAAAACGUUGGAACCUUUCUAUCAACAAACUCUAACAUUUAAGGAAGCCUUCCAGAAGUGCUAUUUACAGGUGACGGUGUGGGGUGACUACGGCCGAAUAGAAGGGAAAAAGGUUUUCAUGGGAGUUGCACAGAUAUCCCUGGACACUCUUAAUCUGAGUGAGGAGGUGUUCGGCUGGUACAAACUCUUCGGCAGCACGUCCCUGGGAAAUAUUGAAGGAAUAUGAUCUUCGGGUGAUUGAUGGCUCUGAAUACGGUAAUGCACAUAUCGCGCACGAGAAUAAUGAAUAAAUUAUAUGAAGCAGCUUUUCUAGCGGCCAGAGGAGUGCAAAUUUGAAGGAUAUUUUUUCCAAUAAAACUGAUUACAAAGAUAUUUAACAAAAACAUCCCAUUUAAAGCACAUCAGAUAUCUUGUCAGAUGAACUAGUCUUUAGGUAGACUAGCUGUAGACGUAGCAGCCAUGUAACUGGAUCGCCGGAUAGCUUUAGUGAAAUCAACGGAGCUCGAGUGAACGUCAUGCUGACAUAAACUCGAACGUGAUGUGUCUAUCAAAGUGAUAACCAAAAAAAAAAUAAACGACAAUGAAUAUUAAUAAUGUGAUCGACGCAAGUGGACGAUUUGGUGAUAGGGGAAAAACUGAGUAAUCUCAUCAGUGAUUUAAAAAUAGCGAUAAUGAACUUUGAAUGAAUAAAUUCGAUGAAUGUAACUAUCGGACCGGUAGCCGAGGAAAUUAAUGCCGGUCAUGAACUAUAUGCAGAUUUAUGUAUAGAUAUAAAGAAAAUAUGAAGCGUUGCUAUAUUUGUAUAUAAAUUGGGGACACGCUGUGAAAAGAUUUUUCAAUUUAGAAAUCUUUCAAUUUUAUUGACUGCUGAAUGCGAAACGAUGUUCAGCCCUUGAGUUUAAUUCAUCUACUCUUGUUUCAUAAUCUGAUUAUAUUCACGUUAACGUAUGUCGUAUACUCACGCCGUUGUACGCCAUCGACGGACAGUGAAGAGGAAAUGAAUUCAAAUUGAAUCACAAUAUUCGGGGUAAAAAAAAAAUUUAUCACUGUGUGUGUACCUUGGUGUAAAUAAUUGUACGGCGGUGAGGUAUGCAUGCAUCUCGAAUAUUGCGUGACUGAUAAGCGCCGUGUGAUGAAUAAGAUAUGUUGAAUAAUUAGGGGAUGGAAGGGGAGGGGUAAUACAGAGGGAUUUGUAUUAUGUUUUUAACUGCCUUGUCAAUGUUUUUCUCAUUCAAAAUUUUUUUAUUUAAUCUUAUAUUCGUACUAGGAUAAAUAAUAUUUUUGUUAUUGAAUUCAUUGAAUUAUGUGAGACACAAUCGAGUGAAUCGGUUUGAAAGAUAAAUGACAUUUGUAUUUUACUGUAUAGCUGUUGAUCGUCAUGUUAUCAAUUAACUUCAUCCGUGUUCGCACGCCACAUGGUCACACGCAGAUAAAGAAUGUCAGAUUGAGCAGGAAAAUUUUUGCGGAAAAAUUGCAAAUUCACUCAUCUCAUGUCGACUUAUUUUCAUUCAGCUUGAUUCGAUAUAAUUUGGGACACUCGAAUGAUUUUUCGAGAUUCAACUCACUAUAGGCAGCAUAUGGAUAGAAAAAAAAUUGAACAGGUGAGAGCGAUGGAAGUAUCUUAUCAUAUCUAUAAUGUGCUUAAUUAAAAUUAGAAGGAAAUAAAGAGAUAAUGAAACAACCAAAAAUUGAAAAAAAAAAUUGAAACCACAAAACAAGGAGGAUUUUUUACUCAUGAAAAAUAAAUACUGAAUUUUAGAAUCGUAAAGAGUAACCGAGGAUUAUAAACAGAUAUAACAAUUGAUGAAACAUUGUAAGUAUUGUGAAAAUGAAACGGUGAAAAAAAAAACAAACAUUAAAAGAGAUAAAUAAAUAACGACUUAACGAAUAAGCUGAAAUUUCUAAGUAAAACUUUUUGCAAAGUGUGAGUGGGCGAACUAUAGUCACAGGGGGUCAAAUAAAUGGAUAAAACAACUACAAAUAACAAGAGAGAAAAUAACAAAAACUGUAAUAGCGUGAACAAAAUUGAAGGAUGGAUAAUUAUACGAGACUAUCGAUAAUGUAAAAUGUUCAGUUUGUAAUCCGCCAUAUUGCGCGUCUAUUCUACUCCCUGAGAUCAAUUACUGAGCUCUGAUUUUUCAUCAAUCCUGCAUUGAUUUCAAUCAUUCACAACAAUUAUCCAUGCUAUCGUACAUCAUCAGGGAAUAGAAAGAUGCGGACUGUUUCGCGCUUGAAAAAAAAAACAUAAAAUAUUGCAUAUCCUAUUCAGACGUAGAUCUUUGAUAACUUACUAAAAAAAAGCAAAAAAAAUAAAAAACUAACGAAUGAAAGAAGUCAAACGGAGAAAAUACUUUAGAGUUGACAGAUGGGAAUGUUUGAAUUUUUUCUUAGACUUUUCUACGACAGAGUGUUUCGUGUUCUAGUGAGACUACCAACGGAUGAGAUUCAGGAGAAUAAAGGGAAUUAGUGAGAGAGUUAUUAGUGAUUUGAUUUGAAUCGGAGGGGGAAAUUUCUAAUGCAAAAUUUCAAACAACAAUCCAUUGGGCACAUUCACAUGCUGCACAUGCCAUUAAAGAUUGCACUGUGUCGUUGAAUAUUGUUAUUAAAGUUGCCAUGAAAAAAAAACCAUCGUAAGGAUGAUGAUGAAUGAGUUAAUGAAAUAAAUCAAUUGAGAAUGUGCUGUGCUUUGUUGAUAUCCGCAAAGUGGCAUAGCAAGAGUUAAAAUCAAGUUAAUCAGACGAAUUGUUGGGGAAGGGAAAAACGGAUAAACGAAUCAAUAAAAAAAAUCGUUUGAAUUACGUCUUCUUUUGACCCGCUGUGAGUGACAGAAAGACUGCCUCUUUUGCCAUUGAAAAUUCAUUUUCACUAAACUUGAGAGAAAAAAAAAAUAAUUAACCAAGAAACGAAAAAUUGAUACAUAUUAUUUACGUUAAUCAUUUGAGAAAGUAUAUGACAACUGAUUCCUACCCUUGCCUUGCCGAUUUGUAAAUAGGCGUGCUCAAUUCGAUAGCUCGGCGGUGAAUCAUGGAUACAUUUAAUCUUAAUAACGGAUCGUAAAUUUCAACAAAAAUAAUAAAUGAAAGAAAAAAAAAUUAAUAUCCGACUUUGUACCUAUAUACUAAUUAAACUUAACAAAGCGAAAGAAAAAAAAACACUUACGAUUAAAAAUAUCUGGAUUGCACACGAAUGCUUAUUUCGAUGAUAUUGAGAUGAUCAUUUUGGGAGAUAAUGGAGCAUUGAGAACCAAUUAACAUCAGCAAUUUAAACAAUUAUAUCAUCCAAGCGCAAUGGGGUACCACUUUUGUCAAAUUUAACGAGCCAACCUAGGGUUUUAAAAGAAUUGAUGAGCAAUCAGUGUGACACAAAUGGAAAAUUACGAAGUGCGGAUUAACGACAAUGCCAACAAUUUAUUAAUUAUCAAAUUAAUUAACGACUACCUUGUAGAGUCGAGUCCAAAGAAAAGAAAACAUGUAGCAUAAGUUAUCUUGUAUCUUGUAUUUAAUGUCACGACUGAUUCGUGCGCGAAGACAUUCAAUGAAUAAUUUCGGGGAGAAAGAUAUUUGACGCGCACGAGUCCCUCGUCAAAUGGUGAUCCUGACCUUUACUAACAAAACACGAUAAAAGCAAGAAAAAAAAAUUAACGAUGAAGUGAAAAUUGCUGCUCGAGUUUAGACGAAAUAAUCGGGACAGGCUUCGUACAUUUCUAAUUUGUCAAUGGUGAUAUAAAACAAAAUGUGAAAUACGACCGUGUACUUAUUGUUUCCCUUGAGAGCGCGUGGUAUGUGAGAAUGUGACAUUAAAUAAAAAAAAUAAAUCUCCCAGAGUGAAAUGGAAAAAAAUCCGAAAAACCGAAGAACGAAACCUAAGCAAAUACGAUUAGAAAAAGAAAACAUUUUCUCGAAGAGUCUCCACGAAUAUCCGUCAUUCGGCGUCUGGAUCUUCUGAUUUACGACUAAAAAGUGAUUUCUCGGAAACAAAAUUUAAAAAAUUAUAUUAUAGGGAACAAGACGUUUGUCGAAGACUGUACAUAUUGCAUGAGCGAUCAGCCCAAAAAUAUGAGGAAUCAAUUUUUACGAUACUAUUAGAGGUUUAUUUAGGGGCUGGAUUUUCGUGGAGGCUGAUUGGGGAAUAAUUAAUAUAAAGCGUUAGUGACUGUAUCCAGUAUAAUAUACCAGAUAAAAAAGAUACCCCCAAUGCCAGACAUGGCGUGUGACAAUAAAGUGAUUCAAUGAUA